rnacentral:misc_RNA from 1 species
UACGAAGGGUGCAAGCGUUACUCGGAUUUACUGGGCGUAAAGCGCGCGCAGGCGGAUUGGAAAGUCAGAUGUGAAAUCUCGGGGCUCAACCCCGAAACUGCGUCUGAAACUUCCAAUCUAGAGUCUUGGAGGGGGAAGUGGAAUUUCGCAUGUAGGGGUAAAAUCCGUAGAGAUGCGAAGGAACACCAGAGGCGAAGGCGACUUCCUGGACAAGAACUGACGCUGAGGCGCGAAAGCGUGGGGAGCAAACAGG